rnacentral:rRNA from 1 species
GGGAGUCAGACUGCGAGUGAUAAGAUCCGUAGUCGAAAGGGAAACAGCCCAGACCACCAGUUAAGGUCCCCAAAUAUAUGUUAAGUGGAAAAGGAUGUGGGGUUGCUUAGACAACCAGGAUGUUGGCUUAGAAGCAGCCACCAUUGAAAGAGUGCGUAAUAGCUCACUGGUCGAGUGACCCCGCGCCGAAAAUGUACCGGGGCUAAACAUAUUACCGAAACUGUGGAUGAACCUCUUUAGAGGUUCGUGGUAGGAGAGCGUUCUAAGGGCGGUGAAGUCAGACCGGAAGGACUGGUGGAGCGCUUAGAAGUGAGAAUGCCGGUAUGAGUAGCGAAAGAAGGGUGAGAAUCCCUUCCACCGAAUAUCUAAGGUUUCCUGAGGAAGGCUCGUCCGCUCAGGGUUAGUCGGGACCUAAGCCGAGGCCGAUAGGCGUAGGCGAUGGACAACAGGUAGAGAUUCCUGUACCAGUGCUAAUUGUUUAACCGAUGGGGUGACACAGAAGGAUAGGGAAUCGCACGAAUGGAAAUGUGCGUCCAAGCAGUGAGUGUGAGAAGUAGGCAAAUCCGCUUCUCGCGAAG